GCGUCUGGACGGCACGGCGAACCCUGCUGCCCUGGGUUGCCCUGCAUGCCCGUCACCUGGACACAGAGCUCGCGGGAGAGCUGGGUCCUCCCUAGUCCCGGGGAACUUACAGCGGUGGGCGCCUCCUGCCCCCCAUCUGUGAGGUCACCCAGCCCGGGUCAGCCCCUCGGAAGCUCACGUCCUGGGCCGAGAUCUUCCUGGCCCUGGGGCCGAUUCGCAUGUGAUGGUCUGAGGGGUCCUUGCACACAGGGGCAGGGUGGGCCAGGGGCAGGGGCGAUCCUGGGUCCGGUCCUGCUUCUUGAGAGCAGGUGACAGACUGCUGGGCCCGGAGACCACGCAUUCACUCGGGAGCUGUAAUUAGCCUCUUGCUGAAAGGGUGGAGUUUCGAACCCGAUGCAGAUUCCACGCCGCAGGCCACUGGGAUGGGCACGUUUUCCUGGUGACCCCGCGGGGGCACACACGCAGGCGACUGGGUGAUUUUGUGGAUGCCCCGGUCCCCUGGCCACGUCUGCCAACUCCAGCGUCAGGAGGUGCAGCCUAGCGCCCCCGAAGCCCCUUCUCCCUCCUCCCCCCCAAACUGCUGCCCACCAUGCGCGUAUAGCUCCCCAGCGCCUGCUGUGUGGCCUUCUUCCAGCCUUGGGACCACACGGGCACACCCGAGCAGCUUUUCGAGAUC